GUCAGAACGAACGCUGGCGGCAGGCCUAACACAUGCAAGUCGAGCGCUCUCUUCGGAGGGAGCGGCGGACGGGUUAGUAACGCGUGGGAAUAUACCCUUUGGUACGGAAUAGCCUCUGGAAACGGAGAGUAAUACCGUAUGAGCCCUUCGGGGGAAAGAUUUAUCGCCAAAGGAUUAGCCCGCGUUAGAUUAGGUAGUUGGUGGGGUAAUGGCCUACCAAGCCUACGAUCUAUAGCUGGUUUUAGAGGAUGAUCAGCAACACUGGGACUGAGACACGGCCCAGACUCCUACGGGAGGCAGCAGUGGGGAAUCUUGGACAAUGGGGGCAACCCUGAUCCAGCCAUGCCGCGUGAGUGAUGAAGGCCUUAGGGUCGUAAAGCUCUUUCGCCUGUGAAGAUAAUGACGNAGCAGNAAAGAACCCCGNA
rnacentral:rRNA from 1 species